UGGGGAAUAUUGGACAAUGGGCGAAAGCCUGAUCCAGCCAUGCCGCGUGUGUGAAGAAGGUCUUCGGAUUGUAAAGCACUUUAAGUUGGGAGGAAGGGCAGUAAGCGAAUACCUUGCUGUUUUGACGUUACCGACAGAAUAAGCACCGGCUAACUCUGUGCCAGCAGCCGCGGUAAUACAGAGGGUGCGAGCGUUAAUCGGAUUUACUGGGCGUAAAGCGUGCGUAGGCGGCUGAUUAAGUCGGAUGUGAAAUCCCUGAGCUUAACUUAGGAAUUGCAUUCGAUACUGGUCAGCUAGAGUAUGGGAGAGGAUGGUAGAAUUCCAGGUGUAGCGGUGAAAUGCGUAGAGAUCUGGAGGAAUACCGAUGGCGAAGGCAGCCAUCUGGCCUAACACUGACGCUGAGGUACGAAAGCAUGGGGAGCAAACAGG
rnacentral:rRNA from 1 species